UACACGAAAGUGUGACAGGGCUAUCCCGAGUGCCAUCCGCUGAGGAAGGCUUUUACCCAGUGUAGAUAGCUGGGGGAAUAAGGAGAGGGCAAGACUGGUGUCAGCCGCCGCGGUAAUACCAGCUCUCCGAGUGGUGUGGAUGUUUAUUGGGCCUAAAGCAUCCGUAGCUGGCCAAGUUAGUCCCCUGUUAAAUCCACCGAUUCAAUCGUUGGAGUGCGGGGGAUACUGCUCGGCUAGGGGACGGGAGAGGCCGACGGUAUUUUCGGGGUAGGGGUGAAAUCCUAUAAUCCCGGGAAGACCACCAGUGGCGAAGGCUGUCGGCUAGAACGCGCCCGACGGUGAGGGAUGAAAGCUGGGGGAGCGAACCGGAUUAGAUACCCGGGUAGUCCCAGCUGUAAACGAUGCAGGCUAGGUGUUUGGCGGCCACGUGCCGUCUAGUGCCGCAGGGAAGUCGUAAGCCUGCCGCCUGGGGAGUACGGCCGCAAGGCUGAAACUUAAAGGAAUUGGCGGGGGAGCAC
rnacentral:rRNA from 1 species